rnacentral:rRNA from 1 species
GGAAGUUGCGGGUGCUAUACAUGCAGUCGAGCGGACAGAUGGGAGCUUGCUCCCUGAUGUUAGCGGCGGACGGGUGAGUAACACGUGGGUAACCUGCCUGUAAGACUGGGAUAACUCCGGGAAACCGGGGCUAAUACCGGAUGCUUGAUUGAACCGCAUGGUUCAAUUAUAAAAGGUGGCUUUUAGCUACCACUUACAGAUGGACCCGCGGCGCAUUAGCUAGUUGGUGAGGUAACGGCUCACCAAGGCAACGAUGCGUAGCCAACCUGAGAGGGUGAUCGGCCACACUGGGACUGAAACACGGCCCAAACUCCUACGGGAGGCAGCAGUAGGGAAUCUUCCGCAAUGGACAAAAGUCUGACGGAGCAACGCCGCGUGAGUGAUGAAGGUUUUCGGAUCGUAAAACUCUGUUGUUAGGGAAGAACAAGUACCGUUCGAAUAGGGCGGUACCUUGACGGUACCUAACCAGAAAGCCACGGCUAACUACGUGCCAGCAGCCGCGGUAAUACGUAGGUGGCAAGCGUUGUCCGGAAUUAUUGGGCGUAAAGCGCGCGCAGGCGGUUUCUUAAGUCUGAUGUGAAAGCCCCCGGCUCAACCGGGGAGGGUCAUUGGAAACUGGGGAACUUGAGUGCAGAAGAGGAGAGUGGAAUUCCACGUGUAGCGGUGAAAUGCGUAGAGAUGUGGAGGAACACCAGUGGCGAAGGCGACUCUCUGGUCUGUAACUGACGCUGAGGCGCGAAAGCGUGGGGAGCGAACAGGAUUAGAUACCCUGGUAGUCCACGCCGUAAACGAUGAGUGCUAAGUGUUAGAGGGUUUCCGCCCUUUAGUGCUGCAGCAAACGCAUUAAGCACUCCGCCUGGGGAGUACGGUCGCAAGACUGAAACUCAAAGGAAUUGACGGGGGCCCGCACAAGCGGUGGAGCAUGUGGUUUAAUUCGAAGCAACGCGAAGAACCUUACCAGGUCUUGACAUCCUCUGACAACCCUAGAGAUAGGGCUUCCCCUUCGGGGGCAAAAUGACAGGUGGUGCAUGGUUGUCCUCACCUCGUGUCCGGAGAUGUUGGGUUAAGUCCCGCAACGAGCGCAACCCUUGAUCUUAGUUGCCAGCAUUCAGUUGGGCCCUCUAAGGUGACGGCCGGUGACAAACCCGGAG